UUCCUGAACUGCUGUGUUGUGUGUUAUGAUCUUACAAAGAAGAACGGAGCAUUCCUAUCUAGCUUGGGUGCAGGAAGGUGUUACCUAAUUACAUUUGCAUGUAUAAAGCAGAAGACAAUGCUAAAUGCAAAAUGUCACUUCUGACGUGAUGCUGCUAGGACCAUGAACUGCUGGUCUGAAGAAUGUCUACCGUGACUACAGUGCUUGGCCGUCCGGUUUUGAACAAUUCUGUCUGAUGCCAAAUCAGAUGUGUUCAAGGGAAGAUUAGGUGUCGCCCAUCUUCCUGCCUGUGCCAGUUCGUCUUGUUUGCCAAGUCAACCAGCGUUUUUCUCCUCGCUCCUGUUUUUCCCAGUCUCUGUUUUUCUCCUCCUCCUGGUUGUGACCCUUGCCUCACCUGACUCUGUGUCCCCCUGCCUGACCGUUCUGCCCGGCCCUGAUCGAGCCUGCCUGCCGCUUUGUACUGUAUUGGACUUUGACAUGGUUAUGAACUCUUACCUGUCCCCGACCUGCCUUUUGCCUACACCUUGGAUUAUAAUAAAUAUCAGAGCUCAAACCAUCUGCCUCCCAUGUCUGCAUCUCGGUCUCGCCUUGUGUCGUUAUAUUUCCUCUGUGUUGUCUUGCCAACCCCUAUUGUCACACCUCUGAGAAGCAGAGGUUCUGUUGUGAUAACAUCAUAUAGGACUGAUAUCUGAUUGGAGGUUAAUUAACUUUACAGUAAUGCUUUUGGUGAACAACUCAAAUUUUUAAUCGAAACAAUUCCGAUGUUAUAAAAGAUUUUAGAUUCCUUGUCUCUCUUUCUUUUUUUGUUCUUGAACUGCUGUGGUGAGAUUUUCUUUCCUUCAUUCUU